AUUGAACGCUAGCGGGAUGCUUUACACAUGCAAGUCGAACGAGUGGCGGACGGGUGAGUAAUAUGUCGGAACGUGCCCAGUAGCGGGGGAUAACUACGCAAAAGAGUGGCUAAUACCACAUACUAUUUGAGCGGCCGAUAUCGGAUUAGCUAGUUGGUGGGGUAAAGGCUCACCAAGGCAACGAUCCGUAGCUGGUUUGAGAGGACGACCAGCCACACUGGGACUGAGACACGGCCCAGACUCCUACGGGAGGCAGCAGUGGGGAAUUUUGGACAAUGGGGGAAAGCCUGAUCCAGCCAUCCCGCGUGUAUGAGAAGGCCUUCGGGUUGUAAAGUACUUUUGGCAGGGAAGCGGUAUCUGCAGAAGAAGCACCGGCUAACUACGUGCCAGCAGCCGCGGUAAUAC
rnacentral:rRNA from 1 species